rnacentral:rRNA from 1 species
CCGGCGCACGGGUGCGUAACACGUAUGCAACUUACCCUUUACUGGGGCAUAGCUCAGAGAAAUCUGAAUUAAUUCCCCAUAACGCUAUUGAGUCGCAUGACUUGAUAGCUAAAGUUCCGGCGGUAAAGGAUAGGCAUGCGCUGUAUUAGCUAGUUGGUGAGGUAAUGGCUCACCAAGGCUACGAUACAUAGGGGUUCUGAGAGGAUGAUCCCCCACACUGGUACUGAGACACGGACCAGACUCCUACGGGAGGCAGCAGUAGGGAAUAUUGGUCAAUGGACGCAAGUCUGAACCAGCCAUGCCGCGUGCAGGAAGACGGCCCUCUGGGUUGUAAACUGCUUUUAUAUGGGAAGAAACCCCGGGAUGCGUUCCGGGCUGACGGUACCAUACGAAUAAGGAUCGGCUAACUUCGUGCCAGCAGCCGCGGUAAGACGAAGGAUCCAAGCGUUGUCCGGAUUUACUGGGUUUAAAGGGUGCGUAGGCGGAUGCUUAAGCCAGUGGUGAAAUCUCUCAGCUCAACUGAGAAACUGCCAUUGGAACUGGGUAUCUUGAGUUCGAUUGAGGUAGAUGGAAUAUAACAUGUAGCGGUGAAAUGCUUAGAUAUGUUAUGGAACACCGAUUGCGAAGGCAGUCUACUAAGUCGACAUUGACGCUGAGGCACGAAAGCGUGGGUAGCGAACAGGAUUAGAUACCCUGGUAGUCCACGCCCUAAACGUUGAUUACUCGCUGUUGGCGAUACACUGUCAGCGGCUAAGCGAAAGCGUUAAGUAAUCCACCUGGGAAGUACGACCGCAAGGUUGAAACUCAAAGGAAUUGACGGGGGCCCGC